CCUACGGGUGGCAGCAGUGGGGAAUAUUGCGCAAUGGGGGAAACCCUGAUGCAGCAACGCCGCGUGAAUGAAGAAGUAUUUCGGUAUGUAAACUUCUAUCGGCAGGGAAGAAAAUGACGGUACGUGACUGUGAGGCCCCGGCUAACUACGGGCCAGCAGCCGCGGUAAUACGUAGGGGGCAAGCGUGAUCCGGAUUUACUGGGUGUAAAGGGAGCGGAGGCGGUUUAGCAAGUCAGAAGUGAAAGCCCGGGGCUCAACUCCGGGACUGCUUUUGAAACUGUUGAACUAGAGUGCAGGAGAGGUAAGUGGAAUUCCUAGUGUAGCGGUGAAAUGCGUAGAUAUUAGGAGGAACACCAGUGGCGAAGGCGGCUUACUGGACUGUAAAUGACGCUGAGGCUCGAAAGCGUGGGGAGCAAACAGGAUUAGAUACCCCAGUAGUC
rnacentral:rRNA from 1 species